rnacentral:rRNA from 1 species
UACGGAGGGGGCUAGCGUUGUUCGGAAUUACUGGGCGUAAAGCGUACGUAGGCGACUUUGUAAGUUAGAGGUGAAAGCCCGGGGCUCAACCCCGGAAUUGCCUUUAAGACUGCAUCGCUUGAACGUCGGAGAGGUGAGUGGAAUUCCGAGUGUAGAGGUGAAAUUCGUAGAUAUUCGGAAGAACACCAGUGGCGAAGGCGGCUCACUGGACGACUGUUGACGCUGAGGUACGAAAGCGUGGGGAGCAAACAGG